ACUCAAAUGAAUUGACGGGGGCCCGCACAAGCGGAGGAGCAUGUGGUUUAAUUCGAUGGUACGCGAGGAACCUUACCUGGGCUUGAAAGACAAAUGACCGUCUCUGAAAGGAGAUCUUUCGCAAGAACAUUUGUCUAGGUGCUGCAUGGCUGUCGUCAGCUCGUGCCGUGAGGUGUCGGGUUAAGUCCCAUAACGAGCGCAACCCCUAUCAGUAGUUGCCAACAGGUAAUGCUGGGAACUCUACUGAAACUGCCUGCGCAAGCAGUGAGGAAGGAGGGGAUGACGUCAAGUCAGCACGGCCCUUACGUCCAGGGCUACACACGUGCUACAAUGGCCGGUACAGUGGGUUGCUACACAGCGAUGUGAUGCUAAUCUCUAAAACCGGUCCCAGUUCGGAUUGAAGUCUGCAAUUCGACUUCAUGAAGCUGGAUUCGCUAGUAAUCGGAUAUCAGCUACGAUCCGGUGAAUACGUUCCCGGGCCUUGUACACACCGCCCGU
rnacentral:rRNA from 1 species